rnacentral:rRNA from 1 species
UACGUAGGGUGCAAGCGUUGUCCGGAAUUAUUGGGCGUAAAGAGCUCGUAGGCGGUUUGUUGCGUCGGCUGUGAAAUCCCGAGGCUCAACCUCGGGUCUGCAGUCGAUACGAGCAAACUAGAGUGUUGCAGGGGAGACUGGAAUUCCUGGUGUAGCGGUGGAAUGCGCAGAUAUCAGGAGGAACACCGGUGGCGAAGGCGGGUCUCUGGGCCGAUACUGACGCUGGAGGAGCGAAAGCGUGGGGAGCGAACAGG